rnacentral:rRNA from 1 species
UGAUAGGCGCUAUACGAAGAUAACGUAUGUCACUCGGGGUAGGGCACCAAUCGCUUUUUUUUGUUCGUGCGCUCAGGUGAAGGAACAAACUAUAUUUGUUUUUCCUGCCCGGCAGACCGGGAUAACUCCAGGUAACCGGGGUUUAUACCGGAUAACACCGAAGACCGCAUGGUCUUUGGUUGAAAGGUGGCUUUUGCUACCACUUACGGAUGGGCCCGCGGCGCAUUAGCUAGUUGGUGAGGUAACGGCUCACCAAGGCGACGAUGCGUAGCCGGCCUGAGAGGGUGACCGGCCACACUGGGACUGAGACACGGCCCAGACUCCUACGGGAGGCAGCAGUAGGGAAUCUUCCGCAAUGGACGAAAGUCUGACGGAGCGACGCCGCGUGAGCGAAGAAGGUCUUCGGAUCGUAAAGCUCUGUUGUUAGGGAAGAAGAAGUACCGUUCGAAUAGGGCGGUACGGUGACGGUACCUAACGAGAAAGCCCCGGCUAACUACGUGCCAGCAGCCGCGGUAAUACGUAGGGGGCGCGCGUUGUCCGGAAUUAUUGGGCGUAAAGCGCGCGCAGGCGGUCCCUUAAGUCUGAUGUGAAAGCCCACGGCUCAACCGUGGAGGGUCAUUGGCAAACUGGGGGACUUGAGUGCAGAAGAGGAGAGCGGAAUUCCACGUGUAGCGGUGAAAUGCGUAGAGAUGUGGAGGAACACCAGUGGCGAAGGCGGCUCUCUGGUCUGUAACUGACGCUGAGGCGCGGAAGCGUGGGGAGCAAACAGGAUUAGAUACCUGGUAGUCCCGCCGUAAACGAUGGAUGCUAAUGUUAGAGG